ACCCCUAUUUUAUCUGCUACGGAAUGCGAUUCGCUUCGGUUGAAACCCCCGAAACGCGACUAGGCUAGUUUUGAGUAUCAACUGGGCGGGUUUUGUUGUGAAAACCUGGCAAGCCUGGUUUGUGUAUCCUUCAGUCCGUUUCAGAAGCGGAGACAGGAUUACCACAGAAAACGAUCGAGGAGCGAUUUUGUCGGAUUCGCAUCCUUUCCUACAUUUUCGGACGACGUUUCCAACGCUGAUUGUCGAUGGUUUCCCCGCUAUUCUCCAAUGGAUUACUAAUUUAACCGCAGGAACAGCAGGUUAUAUCAGCUGAAGAUCUGAAACAGAGUACACUCGAGAGGAUCACCUUCACCGUGGACGGAGAUGAAGACACUGGAGGAGCCCCCUUAUCUGACCGUUGGUACUGAUGUGAGCGCCAAAUACAGAGGGGCUUUCUGUGAGGCCAAGAUCAAGACCGCCAAGAGACUCGUCAAAGCAAAGGUCACUUUCAAACCCAGCUCGUCCACUGCAGAGGUGCACGAUGAACACAUCAGAGGAGUGCUGAAGGUGGGUGCCGUGGUGGAAGCCAGGAACCAGGAUGGGGUCUAUCAGGAGGCCACCAUCAACAAACUCACUGACGCUAGUCUGUACACCGUCGUGUUUGAUGACGGUGAUGAGAAGACCCUCAGGCGCUCGUCUCUCUGCCUGAAAGGAGCGCGACAUUUCGCAGAGAGUGAGACGCUCGACAGGCUUCCUCUGACGAACCCCGAACACUUCGGCUCUCCUGUCAUCGGCAAAAAAGGACACCGCAGAGGCCGACGCUCCAACCCCAUUCAAGAAGAGGAGUCAUCUUCAUCGUCUAGUGAGGAAGAGGAGGGCGAUCAGCAACAAAACGAAGAGCUUUACGGCAAAGUGGUGUGUGUGGAUGGAGUCGUCACUAGCGACAAGAAGAGAACCACAUGGUUUCCAGCACUGGUCAUCUCUCCAGACUGUCACGAAGAUGUGACUUUGAAGAAAGACAACGUUUUUGUUCGCUCCUUCAAAGAUGGAAAAUUUUACACAGUUUUGCGGAAAGACGUUCGAGAGCUGGAUGAGGAGAAAGCUCCUAAAACAGACGCAGGACUCAAACCAGCGUUAGAUGCAGCGUGGGAUUUCCAGCGUAACCGCACUGUGCCCAACACCUGGAGGACGGAGGUGAAGGAUGAAAGCUCCAGCAGUGAGGACGAUGACGAGGAAGAGGAGGAGGAGCAAGAGGAAGAGGCCAGCAACGCAGAGGAAGAGGAGGAAGUAGAGCCGUUCCCAGAAGAGAAAGACAACUUCCUACAACAGCUUUACAAAUUUAUGGAGGACAGAGGAACUCCUAUCAAUAAGCGACCGGUGCUUGGCUACAGGAACCUGAAUCUGUUUAAACUCUACCGGCUGGUGCAUAAGCUCGGUGGAUUUGACAAUAUCGAGAGCGGAUCUGUCUGGAAGCAGGUGUAUCAGGAUCUGGGCAUCCCCGUGCUCAACUCCGCAGCCGGUUACAACGUCAAAUGCGCCUACAGAAAGUAUCUGUAUGGCUUUGAGGACUACUGCGCCUCCACGGGGGUCAUGUUCCGCAUGGAUCUGCCGAAUAAGACGAGCGAGACGACGAGCUCAAAGAGUGAGGCGAACACGGAGGAAACGCUCAACACUGUCUCUUUAAGCACAUCCAGCGCAGGAGAGGAACAGACAGCCCCCAAAGAGCCUGAGAUUUCCAACAGCCCACAUGUGUUCAAGGAGGAGGACGCAGAACACACAGCACCUUGUGAAGAUAAAGUGGACAUCAGCAGCGUAAAUGAGGAGGAGGAUGAUCACGCUGAUGAAGAGGAGAGCGAUACGAAAGAGGAGGCCAAAGAAAGCGUCCCGACAGCUCAGAGUCCCGUCACUGAGAGCCUGAAGGAGGAAGCGUGUGAGGAACCCCACGAGAAAGAUCUGUCCGGGGAUGUCAGCAGUCAGGAGUGGGAGGAAGGGGAGGAGUUUGAGUGUUACCCUCCUGGGAUGAAGGUGCAGGUGAGGUAUGGGCGAGGCCGCAAUCAGAAGACGUACGAAGCCACUGUGAAAGAGUCAGACCUGGAGGGGGGAGAGGUGCUCUACCUGGUGCACUACUGUGGCUGGAACGUCAGGUAUGAUGAGUGGAUCAAAGCCGAUAAGAUCGUGAAACCAGCCAAUAAGAACGUCCCUAAAAUAAAACACCGUAAAAAAAUAAAGAAUAAAGCAGAACGAGAAAGAUACCGAAUAGAGCGACUGACAGACGGAGACGAUCUUCUUUCAUCCAAAAAUCGCAUGAAUCGAUUGCCCAAACCGAACUCUGGCAGUGAUGUUUUCUCCAAGAUGGAGGAGUGUGGUGAUAAAGGAAGCCAGCAGUCGCCCGUCAAGCCCUUCGAGAUCACUUCUAUUCUCAAUGGCCUCCCAGGCUCUGAGAGCUCCACAGACGACAGUGAGCAAGAAGAAGAUGCUGAUGCAGAUCACGACGAAGAGCGCCCGCAUACGCCACAGCACUGGGAGAGCGAGGGCCCGUCUGAAGCCUUCAAAGCCCCUGCGGUCGUGGACGAGGAGCUGAGCAUCCAGGACGCUCCAGAAACAAUCAAGAGAAAAGGACAAUUUGAGGAGGAGGUCGAAGGUUCUGGUGGCAGAAGAAAAAAAGCAGAAGGUCCAGAGCGUGCUUUGAAAAGCCCAGCGAAAGGCAAAACUAGAAGCAGCAGCAGAGGCGAUUGGUUGCCAAGUAGUUCGCCCAAAAAGUUAGAAGAACGAGGUCUGGUGGAGGAUAGAGGCGCUCAGUCGUGUAGCAGCUCUGAAGACGAAGCAGAUCCUCCAACAGAACAACAAACCAAGGAAGAACCAAGAGGAAAUCCCAAAACCAAGGGCUCCCCUUCAAAGAAAUAUAAUGGAGUGAAGGAGAAGAAUAAAAGCAGUCGUUCGGGAUUCUGGGAGAUCCCAGAGAAAAGAGCCAAAAUAUCCACAGCGAUCGAAGAAAGGUCACCUGGCUGUCGUACUAAAGGCCAGAAGGAUGUGUGGUCCAGCAUCCAAGUCCAGUGGCCCAAGAAAACUCUAAAGGAGCUGUUUUCAGACUCGGAUACCGAGGCGGCUAACUCACCUCCACCCGCCGUAACGGCUCCGGACGAGCCCUGCGUCGAACCCUCCCGGGACGAGGAGAUCGGCGAGGACAAGCUGCAGGAGCAUCCCAGCAGUGGCACCAACUCGGUCCUCAACACGCCUCCGACUUCACCGGAGUCGCCCACCGUGGACGAAGGACCCGUCGAGAUCCGGGUGCCAUUGCCACACGCCGCUCCACCUGCCAGUCCUCCACCCGUCUCUUCACCGGCUGGAGCUCUGAUGGAGGAGCAGGCGGGGGGGCACGGCGAGUCCGACAGCAGCACGGUGGAGGUGGAGAGCCUGGGUGGAGAAAUCCAGGAGAUUCCUCGGGAAGUUGGGGCAGGUUCCCCUUCAAAGGCCUUCGAUGGAAACCUGUCGUGCAACAGUAACAGCAACUGUAGCCUGACGCUCAGCAACAGCAGCCAGCAGGAGAGCGAGCAGAAAGCCAAAGCCUCAUCCAGUCAGAAGCGGCACAAAGAGUCUCAAGGCGGCGGAGCAUCAAAGAAACACAAGCGCAGUCAUAAAAACCUGAGCUUACAUCCCAAGAAGAACCGCAAACCAGCCCACAGCAGUGACAGUGAGGACCAGUGUAUGAGCGAGAGCACUGCCAAAUCCCCCACAUCUAAGAGCAGCAGCGAGCUGAAGACAGCCCUCCCGCACAAGUGCUCCGGCCGGACGCCCCCCUCCGGACACAAGUACCACAAACACGCUGACCCGGAUCAUUCCCACGGCCCGACCAAGUGGAGCUUCCAGAUGUCGGACCUGGAAAAGAUGAGCAGUCUCGAGCGGAUAGCGUUCCUUCAGGAGAAACUGCAGGACAUCAGGAAUCACUACCUCCUGCUCAAAUCUGAGGUGGCCUCCAUCGACAGGAGACGCAAGCGCAUGAAGAAGAAAGAGAGAGAGAGUGCGGCGGCAGCCUCGUGCUCGUCCUCAUCCUCACCGUCCUCCAGCUCUCUGACGGCGGCGGUCAUGCUAACGCUAGCCGAGCCCACGGUGUCCAGCGCGUCUCAGACCUCGGGGCUGUCGGUGGAGUGCAGGUGACAGCAGCAGGACGCCGGCGGAGAUCAGCACAGAGCACUUAACCAGCACCGGCCCGCCUCGGCCUGCCCCACAGACACUGACAGACACAGCCACGGGGCGCUGACCUGACGAAACCACAGCCACCAGACAGCAACAAGCACUAUUUUAUAUCGACAACUGUUUCCUUCGCAAACUAAUUGCACUCAAGUGCACUUUUUUUCUGGUGGGUCGGGUUUGACAACAGGACAAAGACCAAAACCAAACCAACCCCUUCUUUUUUUUUUUUUUUUUUUUUGAGUGUUAUGAAUAUUUGAUCCUGUGUUUGAAUAAGAGUUCAUCUGCAGUGUCUGAACCCUGUAAUUCACCUUCAGGUCCACCGGUGUAGAGUCAGUCCCAGGUCAGAGGCGCGGGAGUUUAGAGACGUGGGAUUCACUGAGGGUCAGCCUUACGCUUCGGGCACUCGUGAGGAAUGCUGGAAAGCCUUAUGAAAGAUCAGUCUGUCAUCUUCGGCGUUCGAUCCUCUGCGUUUGUUCAUGAGUUUGUCUCAUCGACGGAGGUGAGAGCGAGUCGGGAUAAGGGCUAUUGAGAUGGAGAGCGUUUGCGUUCAGUAUCUCUGGAGGUGAAAUGUAUUAUGAUUGUUGACAAUUUGAGAAUUGAAGACUUUUUCUGGCAGCCAGGAUUCUAAGUGUAUUUUACUACUGAAAUCUAUCCAGACCCUGUGGGGUUUUAAUGGUUAAUGUGGCAGUAUUCCUGAAGUGCAAUGACAGAUGCCGGUCUGUUCUGUACGUUAGCUUUGUGUGUUUAUAUCUUCCUUAUUUCCAUUUCCCUCCUCUUUUUUCCAAUGCCGUAAGUGUAGGAUGCCACGGGUGACGGGUGGACUGUGGGUUAAAGCAAUAGUUCACCUAAAAAUGAACAUGCAUUUAUGUUGUUCCAAAACCAUUUGAUCAUAUUUUCCUGUCAAACACGAAAGCAGAUGUUUGUUUUCCCUACAACAACAUUUGAUGGUGACCAGAACUGUCAAUAUCUACAAACAAAACAUGACCAUGUUUUUACAAAUCUACCUGUGGAAGCUUGUUUCCACCACAAGAUAAAAAUAAAUGCUAUUGUCUCUUUUUUUUUUCGCUCUCACAAUUAAAAAAAAAAAAACUCCUAUAUACAGUACAGACCAAAAGUUUGGAAACAUUACUAUUUUUAAUGUUUU